rnacentral:rRNA from 1 species
UACGUAGGGGGCAAGCGUUGUCCGGAUUCAUUGGGCGUAAAGAGCGUGUAGGCGGCCAGGUAGGUCGGUUGUGAAAACUGGAGGCUCAACCUUCAGAGGUCGACCGAAACCAUCUGGCUAGAGUCCGGGAGAGGAGAGUGGAAUUCCUGGUGUAGCGGUGAAAUGCGCAGAUAUCAGGAGGAACACCAAUUGCGAAGGCAGCUCGCUGGGACGUGACUGACGCUGAGACGCGAAAGCGUGGGGAGCAAACAGG